GGAGGGAGUAGAAGAAAAGGCAAUAUCACAAUUUGUGAGAACUGCCUGUUGUAGAUCAGGCAAAAACUCUAGUGGAAAUAGUCUAGAACAAUUUGUCAGCAAUCAGGCAAAAAAUUCCACCAAAUCACCAGGUAAAGGUCCAACUCUCUUUUGCAAAAAGAAAAGAAGAAGCAUGAUUCCUUUGUAGUGUGUAAAAACUCUACUAUACACCCACGUUUUUGCAGCUUGAUUUUGGAUCUUUUACAAUGGUGAGCCUAUUAUUGUCGCACCCCCUUGCUUGUUGAACCUGGAUGUUAGAGAGAUCCUGAGCUCUUGUUUGGUGUUAUUUUACCGUCUUGCACCUGGCCUCUGCAAAGGAAGAAAAAACAUAUAGAAAGUUGCUUAGAGAAAACCCAUGUAGGAAACCAACUGAGCAUAGUUGCAGCAGCAUAGUUGCUUCAGGGGGGGGGGGGAUUGCAAGUUCAAUUGAGUUGAGUUGUUCAAAAAAAAUCCUCUGUUCAAACGAGACAUCAAAAAACUUUGCCUGCAUGCUUUGAAAAAAGUAGUCUGAAACUAGAGAAUAAAGUCUACACGCUGAAGUUUCUCUGCUAUUAGCGGGCAAAAGGGAUUAACGUUCUCAUAAUUGAAAACAACAUGUAAAUUGCCUACAUGGUGAAGUUGAAAACAACAUAAGAAACAUGAACCUUUCUCUCGGAAUAUGUGUGUUGGUAGGCGACUUCGUGCUGUGAUUUUAGUGGUGUUGUGAGCGACUUUAGCAAGUGAUGCUUGAUUGAGUUGGCUCUCAGCGGGGCCAGCGGUGGGGCAGAUGUUGGUAGGGGGUGGGAGUUAGUUUCACCCGGUUAGGCGACUUUGUAAUCGGGCCAAGGCGACUACGUGUAAGGUCUUAGGCGGCUCUUUGUGUGUGACUUGGGCUUGGGCGAGUUAGUGUUUUGUGAUACUUUAGGAUUGCGACAACUCUGUGUCGCAAAUUUAGGGGGUGUUGUAAGCGACUUUAGCAUGUGGGCUUGAUCGCGUUAGUUCCACCGACUAGGCGACUUUGUAGUCAGGCCAAGGCGACUACGUGUAGGGGCUUAGGUAUCUCUUUUUCAGUGAUUUGGGGCUUUGGGCGACUUAAUGUAUUGGAAUACUCUAGGAUUGCAGCAACUAUGUGUUGGUUGGUAGGCGACUCUGUGUUGCGAAUUUAGGGGUGUUGUAAGCGACUUUAGCAUAUGGGCUUGGUCGAGUUAGUUCCCCCGGUUAGGCGGCUUUGUAGUCGGGCCAAGGCGACUAUGUGUAAUGGCUUAGGUGGCUCUUUUGUGUGACUUGGGCUUGGGCGAGUUAGUGUUUUGUGAUACUCUAGGAUUGUCGCGACUAUGUGUUGGUUGGUAGGCCACUCUCUAUCGCAAAUUUAGGGGUGUUGUAAGUGACUUUACCAUGUGGAAUUGGUCNNNNNNNNNNNNNNNNNNNNNNNNNNNNNNNNNNNNNNNNNNNNNNNNNNNNNNNNNNNNNNNNNNNNNNNNNNNNNNNNNNNNNNNNNNNNNNNNNNNNNNNNNNNNNNNNNNNNNNNNNNNNNNNNNNNNNNNNNNNNNNNNNNNNNNNNNNNNNNNNNNNNNNNNNNNNNNNNNNNNNNNNNNNNNNNNNNNNNNNNNNNNNNNNNNNNNNNNNNNNNNNNNNNNNNNNNNNNNNNNNNNNNNNNNNNNNNNNNNNNNNNNNNNNNNNNNNNNNNNNNNNNNNNNNNNNNNNNNNNNNNNNNNNNNNNNNNNNNNNNNNNNNNNNNNNNNNNNNNNNNNNNNNNNNNNNNNNNNNNNNNNNNNNNNNNNNNNNNNNNNNNNNNNNNNNNNNNNNNNNNNNNNNNNNNNNNNNNNNNNNNNNNNNNNNNNNNNNNNNNNNNNNNNNNNNNNNNNNNNNNNNNNNNNNNNNNNNNNNNNNNNNNNNNNNNNNNNNNNNNNNNNNNNNNNNNNNNNNNNNNNNNNNNNNNNNNNNNNNNNNNNNNNNNNNNNNNNNNNNNNNNNNNNNNNNNNNNNNNNNNNNNNNNNNNNNNNNNNNNNNNNNNNNNNNNNNNNNNNNNNNNNNNNNNNNNNNNNNNNNNNNNNNNNNNNNNNNNNNNNNNNNNNNNNNNNNNNNNNNNNNGACUCUAUGUAGCAAAUUUAGGGGUGUUGUAAGCGACUUUAGCAUGUGGGCUUGGUCGAGUUAGUUUCCCCGGUUAGGCGACUUUGUAGUCGGGCCAAGGCGAUUGCGUGUCAGGGCUUAGGCGGCCCUUUUGUGUGACUUGCGCUUGUGCGAGUUAGUGUUUUGUGAUACUCUAGGAUUGCGGCGACAAUGUGUUGGUUGGUAGAUAACUCUGUGUCGCGAAUUUAGCGGUGUUGUAAGUGACUUUAGCAUGUGGGCUUGGUCGAGUUAGUUUCUCCGGUUAGGCGACUUUAUAGUCGGGCCAAGGUGACUACGUGUAGGGGCUUAGGUAUCUCUUUUUGAGUGAUUUGAGGCUUUGGGCGACUUAGUGUAUUGGGAUACUCUAGCAUUGCGGCGACUAUGUGUUGGUUGGCAGGCAAUUAUGUAGCGAUUUUAGGGGUGUUGUAAGCGACUUUAGCAUGUGGGCUUGGUCGAGUUAGUUCCCCCGGUUAGGCAACUUUGUAGUCGGGCCAAGGCGACUACGUCUAGGGGCGUAGGCAACUCUUUUUGAAUGAUUUGGGGCUUUGGCGACUUAAUGUAUUGGGAUACUCUAGGAUUGUGGCGACUAUGUGUUGAUUGUUAGGCGACUCUGUGUUGCAAUUUUAGGGGUGUUGUAAGCGACUUUAGCAUGUGGGCUUGGUCGAGUUAGUACCCCCGAUUAAGCGACUUUGUAGUCGGGCCAAGGCGACUAUGUCUAGGGGCUUAGGCAGCUCUUUUCUAGUGAUUUCGGGUUUAGGGCGACUUUGGCCGUUUUAGUGUAGCAACUUUAUGUGUGUAGGGUUGUCUGAACGGCUUUAGCGUGUGAGCCAUGGUAGAGUAGACUCGCUGCGGGGGCACGGUGGGACUGCCGUGACAGGGGAGCGAGUUAGUUCCCUCCGCUUAGCCGACUUUGUUGUCGCGCGAGGCGACUGUGUGUAGGGGCUUUGGCAGCCUUUUUUGUUGAUUGAGGCUUUGGGCGACUUAGUGUAUUGAGAUGCUCUUGGUGUGGUGACUAUACGUGGGUUGGUAGGCGACUCCGUGCCUACAAACAAAAAUGUCUGAAAUUCUUCAGUUGAAAAGAUGCCUGCAUAUUCAAAAGAUGCCUGCAAUAAUGUCUGAAACUACAAUUAAGAUGCCUACGUAUCACCCAGAACUGCCUACAAACAAAAUAUCUGAAAACUUACAGUUGAAAAGAUGCCUACAAUAAUGUCUGGAACUAUAAUAAUUCCUUGAAGAUAAACCGAGGCUGCUCCCUAUGAAAAGGCCAGCCCUACACUUACACAUGCUUAUUGUUCACUCAGAGAGAAGUGGCUAUGCUCAAAUACUGCACUUUGCUAAAUCUGCACAUCUACUGAAUUCAAAAAUAGAUAAAAAAAGAUAGAAAAUUCAGAGCAGCCAUACUAUUGCAUGAUUUCAUCUAAGGAACCUUCGCUAGAUCUGUACGACAACAUAUAUCUCAAGCAAAAAGGUAGGAGCAUAUCCCAGCACAGAUAAUAGAGCGAACUUUUGACUGAACUUCACUUUUUAACAGUACUAAGAAUAUCAGGAGGGAAUUUCCAGAAUAAUACAGACUUGUGCUACCACAUAUUCUAGAGAGAUCAAUUUGUAACUCCUGCUUACAGUAACAGAUAAAAAAGCUAGAAAAACACGUUGUAUUGCCUGAAAAAAACACCAUAUUACCUGGAAAAAACAUAUUCUAAUGCCUAGAAGAUGGCAGGUGCUCUGUGUGUUUCUCUUUGGUUGGUUAAAAUGUAGGCAAGUACGGAGAACAUAAUUAGGCAAAAAUCAAAGUAGAAAACUAGGUCAUGCAGCAGUAGAGACACGCACAAAGUUAUAUAUGAUGGAAAAAAGGGAGAAAAAAGGUUAAAAAAAAUCGGAGCUUCAAUUGAUAGAUCUCCGUUUUGUGUAUUAUUACUUACUUAUUCACAUCGGCUGAGCUUCUUUGUCGCCCAGUUGAAGUUUGUCUACAUCACUUCCGACAAAGUUGCCAUUCUGGAAGUAUGUCUAUUCACACAUAAGAGAAAAAAGAAGUGGCAUAGCUUAUAUGUUAGUGGGACAAAACAUGAUGCUGAUGUAGGCAACAUAUCUUAUCACACGUAGUGUGUGGUGGCUUUAUGUUGCAAAUCAACUUCACAUCCAAAAAAAAUUAGGAAGGAAAAACCCAAGCAAUGCAGUACUAAGUAAUUUUUGCCUACUGUUCCUCUACAAGUGAAGUGUUUUUUCCUACUUUAUGUCAUGCAGUAUACUAAGUAAUUUUUGCCUACUGUUCCUCUACCCUCUGUAGCUUGUAUUGCCUCAAAAAACAAAUUGUAUUGCCUAGAAGAAACAUAUUACUAUUUGCCUAGCAGAUAACGCAUAUUAUUUCAUACUGUAUUGCCUAAAUACAUAUCCUAUUUGCCUGGGGAGUGGGGAACAUGACCUUAUUUUCUUGAAGAUGGGUGCUCUUUGUGUUUUUCUCCCAGGGAUAUAGGCAAGCAUGGAGGGUUCUUUGUGUUCGUUCAUACAAUUGGGCAUCAAUUUCUCUCUCGAUUCACCCCUCUACCUCCAUCCUUAUCCCUAUCACCGCCGUGGGUACCGACGACACAUUGGCGACCAAAUCUACGCACGUUUCGUUGUGGACGAAAAAACAGGAGGGAUGGCCUGCAUCUGAUACUCACCUCCUUCCCCCCGGAGACGUAGCACUCCGCCUUGCUGACGCUCGCCAUCCUCAGGCCGCUGACCAGCUUCUCCUGUCCCGAUCUGUCCUCACGUGUGUGCGCCCUUCGCCUGCCGAUGCGGUGCCCAUCUACCGCCGGCUCGCACCCCGUCCCCUUGGCCCGUCGUCGCCGGACUACGCCGGACAGGCUCGCCAAAGAAAGGAUUUCAUCUCCCCUAGUCGCUGCACGGGGUGAGAGAGAGAGGGGGGAAAUGUGCGUCUUCCAGCGUGCACGGCUGGAUCGCGCGCGUGCGUCGCCCAGCGUUUGGGUUGUGACACAGUAUCUCGUUCGGUCACGAGCCCGGGUCCGGCUCUCGCUCGAAGGGGGCAAAGCUCAAAUCGUUCGGUCACAAGUCCGGGUCCGGCUCUCGCUAGAAGGGGGCAAAGCUCAACCUAUAUAACUGCGUCGACGGCAGUAGCUUUCCCCGUGCACCAUACUACGCCCCCCUCCAGUCUACCUCCACCCACCGGAUCAUUGGAAUCCAGUUCGCGAGAAGAUCGGCGACACCGCGCACCGAGCAUGGCAGCUGACCAGCACCGCCGCGCACCGAGCAUGGCAGCCGACCAGCAACGUCGCGUGAAGCUGAUAGUUAGCUACGGCGGGAGGAUCGAGCGCGCCGAGGGUCGGCCGCCGAGGUACGUCGGCGGCGAGCAUCUGCUCCUCAACGUCCUUUCGUCCGUCUCGACGAGGGGCUUCCGCGACCUGCUGGCGGCGCGCGCGUGCUUCUCCAACUUCUCCGUCAAGUACUGCUACUCCGGCGAGGGGCUGGACUCGCUCUGCGACGUGGACACGGACGAGGACCUCCGGGACAUGCUGGACAUCUUGCUCUACCGGGACCUGCAGGCCCGGCUGUUCAACGACCAGAACACGCGCAGGUUCCGGGUCUACCUGUUCCGCGACGCCGCCGCCCCGUCGCCGACCUCCCAGGCCCUCGGAAAACCAGCUCCCAUGCGGCGUAGCGCGACGUCGCCAGCUCUGUUGUCGGCGAAGCCGGCCGACGUCGGCGGGCGGCCCUCCCAUGGCCUGGCCGCUCCCGCUCCCUCUCUGGUGCCGCGGAUCACGACGUCGCCGAAUCCGUUGUGCGAGACGUCGACGGUUGGCACGGCGCCCUCCAAGCCGCCGCUCGCCCCCACUCUCGCACGGCGGAUAGCGUCGUCGCCUUUGUUGACGGCAGACUCGACAGAUGACACGCCUUCUUUGAUCACCACCACGUCGACAUCAGCAGCCAGAGCUACGCAACAUACACCACCCCACGCGGCGGCGUUCUGGCCGGCAGAGCAGCAUAAUCCGGUGUACCAGGCGGCUCCAGUAUUCUUGGUGCCAUUAAUGCCGCAGGUCAUAAUCCACCGGCCGGCGGUCAUCCUCGUACCCAUGUUCAAUUCAAAGGUGGCCAUGGGCUGAGAAUUUUUGGAGUCACAAUCGAAUAUGAAAAUACUCACUCAAGUGAGAAUUAGCAAUCCAUAGUUUGUGUAGAUUAGAUCUCUCACAGGUUGCAGAUAUGAGGCGACAAAUCAAAAUUCUAGAUUGAUCAGUGAUUAUGCACUAUGGGAUGUAACUUAUAGGCGUGACUUCAAUUUUUCUUAUAGUUUACUCUAAAUUGUUUAUAUAUUUUAUAAUUAAUGAUGUCAAAUCCUCUAUAUUCAGUGUUAGUAUCACCACAAGGUUGAAUGGUGGUUGAGAGAGAGAAAACAAUUUCACAAGGAUGACAAGCAAGGGUUUGACACGUUGCUCAUUGCGAGCAGCGGCGAGUUUACUAGACAGGCUUAAACAGGCUCAAGCCUGCCCUCCAAAAAACAAUACUUUUUUACUAGUACUACUACUACUUUCAUCCCAGCUCAAUAGAACAUAUAUUAUUGAGACAUGCACAGCGGACAGGCAUCUCAAAUGAAUGCCCAGCCUCCAAUUAUUGUGUAAUUACUAGUUCAUGUACCGUUAACCAAUUUAGUGUCCAAUGCAACUUAUUUGCAAAAAAAAAAGAUACAAAAUAUGAGUAUGCAUGCAUGUACCCCUCACGCUAAACCUGAACCUAUCCCAUGUAAUAUGAACCCAGAUACCCUUCCCUUUGCUAUUGUGAUUGUAAUCCCUCCUCCAACUUAUAUGGACAACAAAAUAGAGAGAUAAUGGUUAUUUUGCAAGAUAAAUUCAAAUUUUUGUUCAAAAUUUCAUAUGUUUUUAAAAAAAUCCUAGAAAAAAUCUAGUUAAUGCCAAAAAAAAUACUAAUUUGGGAAGUUCUAAGCUUAUUUUGACAACCAGAUUAAGGCAUCAUGUUUAAUUUUUUCUUCAAAAGAGAGUUUAGUUUUCUCGCCGUUGACUUAAGCCUACCCUUCAUUUUCUUCCUUGAUUCGCCACUGAUUGCGAGCAUGUGGGUUCUUUGGAAGCAACGCAAUGCUAGGAUUUUUAACGGAGUCGACCAACAAAAGGAUGCUAGGGAGCUUGCCGCUAUGAUCCUUGGUGAGGUAGCCGAGUGGCGGCAAGCAGGUGUUGGUGUUGGUGGCCUGCAACGAUUUGUGAGGAGUUAGUUUAGGCGUCCUAGGUGGUGUUGGUGUCGUGUUUGUGUGGUCGUGUGUGCGCACUCGAGCCACACUUCUUUUUAAUUAUGCUUUCUACCUUUUAUAAAAAUAUGGUACGCCAUUGGCGUAUUCUCAAAACAAAAUGUUAGUAUCACCAUGUGUGUACAUCCAACUUUAGUGUGCCUUUUUUGAACUACACGCUGAUCUUGUAUAGUGCAAUCUCUUUAGACGAGCUUCGCUUUCAAUAUUUUAUGUUUUAACAUGUGGAUAUUUGUUUUGGCUCCGGCCCUAUAUGCUACUGAAAUGUGCACAGUCCAUCUUCUUAUAGCUUCGUGCGUCAAGUUGUAUUGUCCUUUAUAUUACACAAUAUGCUCUCCGUUUUGAAACAAUAACGUGGCCCAUGUCUGGUCCUUAUUAGACGAGCGUAGUCCGUUUGUUUGUCGUUGGUCUAGACGGGGACGAGACACUCAUGUCCCACGUCUUAAUGUUUUGCAUAGUUAAGUGAAAUAAAAAAUACCAAAGAAAACAACUCGCUGAUGGAGGUGUCGGUAUUGGAGGAAUCAAUAGGUAAGUUAUGUACUCCCUAUGGUACCAUGGUGUCCCUAGAUGGAAUAACACAACAUACCUUCAGAAAUAUUGAACCGCCAAAGAAUCCUCUACUCACACCACCGUCAAUAUUAAAACUACAGAAGGUAUGUAAUUUCAAUGAAAGUAAUUAUCCUCAUAAUUUGUGCCCAUCGAUGAAAAAUGGCAGGGGCGGAGGCAUGAGCCAGGUAGGGACGGGCGCCCGUAUGUCUCGCUGUAAGCGAGACAGAAGGCAAGCCUCGCGUCGGGGAAGCUCCAGAAGGGCCGGCUCAGCCGCGCAGGAGGCUACAUCCUCCUUUACUAUUUUUUUACAUUUUAUGUUUUCUUUUUUGCUUUAUUUUUUUACUUUUGUUUAUACUUUAAAAUUCUAAAUAAAUAUUACAAAACAAUCUAUAAAAAACAUUAAAAAAUAUUGAGCAAGCAUUUGAAAUAUUAAACGUGUAUAUAGAAAAUAUUUAUCAUGUAUAAAAAUGUAUUAAAAAUUGACCAUAUAUUUGAAAAAUGUUAAUCAAGCAUUUGAAAAACGUUUGAAUAAGUAUCUGAAAACUGUUAAUCAAGCAUUUGAAAAAAGUUAAAUGUGUAUAGAAGGAGCGUUGAGCAUGUAUUAGAAAAAUGAUGAAAUGUUUUGAUCAUGAAUACAAAAAAUGUUAAUCAAGAAUUUCAGAAAAUGUUGAACAACUAUUUGAAAAAUGUUAAUUAAGCAUUUGGAAACUAUUAACUGUGUAUAAAAAAGUUGAUCAUAUAUUAAAAAUGAUGAAAUUUGUUUACCAUGUACAUAAAAAUGUUAAUCAAUCAUUUAAAAGAAUGUUGAAUAAGUAUUUGAAAAAUGAUAAUUAAGCAUUUGAAAAUGUUAAAUGUAUAAUGAAAAAAUGUUGACCAUAUAUUUGAAAAAUGAAGAAUUUUCUAAUCGUGGAUAUAAAUUUUUUAAUCAAACAUUUUAAAAACUAUUGACCAAGUAUUUAAAAAAUGUUGAUCAAACAUUUGGAAAUGUGUACAGAAAAAAAGUUGACCAUGUAUUAAAAAACGUUAAACUUGUAUUUGAAAGAGUUGUUCUAUGUUGACACUAGAGAAACAAAUUUAAAUCAAGAAGAGGCAACGGCUAUCGUUUCGUUCAGAAAGGUGAAGCGUUCCCUACCGAAAUCAUCAGGCUUGUUGUGAGAAGUUCUGAUUUGUGAGAAGGUUAUACCCAAACCUGGCCCAAAUGGGACAAAAAUUUUACGACGACAUGUUGAUGCCGCUCCAUGAUAGCAUGCCAUGUUUCAUGAAUUACAGACAAGUUUUGGAUUUACUAGAAUUUAAAAGUCAGGUAUCACAAUUGUCGGUGUCAAAACCGGCGGAUCUCGGGUAGGGGGGUCCCAAGCAGUGUGUCUUAGGAUCAAUGGUAACAGGAGGCAAGGGACACAAUGUUUACCCAGGUUCGGGCCCUCUCAAUGAAGGUAAAACCCUACCCCUGCUUGAUUAAUAUUGAUGAUAUGGGUAGUACAAGAGUUGAUCUACCACGAGAUUAGAUAGGCUAAACCCUAGAAGCUAGCCUAUGGUAUGAUUGUUGUUGUAUAUCUAUUGACUAGCCUGACCUCGGUUUAUAUAAUGUACCAGAGGCCUAGGAUAACAAGAGUCCUAGCCGAAUACGUCGGUGGGGGAGGAGUCCUUGUCUUGAUCGCCAAGUCUUGUGGAAUCUUCCUUGUAUGCGGCAACUGUCCGGACUGGCCCAUGAGUAUACCGCCAUGGGGAUCCUCGGCCCAAUCCAACUGAUCGGGAGACGACGUGGUGAGUACCCCCUAAUCCAGGACACCGUCAGCAGCCCCCUGAACCGGUCUUCAAGUUGGGGACGCUCCUCGAUUCUUCCGAACUGUUCUUCAUCUUCGGUCGUCGGUCUUGAAAACUGGUUUAACAAAUCUUUUCAUCUUCGAUCUUGAGGAUCGCCUAAGUGCAUACGAAGAGUUUACACGUUGGGUAUCCGAGGAGCCCCGUUAAGUUUACGGCCUUUAUCAAUGCCUUGUUAUUUUUAUGCCAUGCCUUGGGUUUGAAGUUAUUCCCAGGAGGCAGUGUCCUCUUGCGUCUGAGCUCUAACGCCGGACUGCAUUCGAGGUAUCUUUUGCAGCUGAGCACCAAUGCCGGACUGCUUCCCAGCUCUAUCGCCGGACUAUGUAUCCGAGCUCCAACGCCGGAUGGUAUACGAGCUCCAACGCCGGACUAUGUAUCCGAGCUCCAACGUUGGACUGUAUCCGAUGUGUCGUCAAUCACCUUGGUUCAAAGAAGUUUGAAGGAGUUUAGCCGAGCUUAAUGCCGGAAAUGCCCUCUAUGGAGCCAGCCACUAGCGUCCGAGCUUUAUGCCGGACUGCUUCCAAGGUGGUGCACCACCUCGAAUGUGGGCCGAUUUUUGUCAAUAUUUUUGAUUGGUGCAAUUUAUUCUCUGCCGAGAUACAUAGCCAUUAGCCCUCAAGGUGGGUAUCGGUCUUAAAACCCGAGAUGCACAUGAAGGAUGACAUAAGACCGCUGAUCCCCGUAGCCGCUGAGACUCAGGUUGAUUUGCAAAAUCGGUCUGAGGAUCAAGUCCUAGCUCGGCAGAAUACUUCGGGACACAAAAAGCGGCGUGCUCAGUCCUCGAGACUCAGGUUGGGUGCGGCCGACCAACCUGAGGAUCAAAAUCUCCUCGGAAACUGUAUUGCACUUAAAAUUUUCUGCAUAGAACAGGCAAUGCAGUAGCCACCGAGACACUGGUCGGGUGGCAACACCAGAUCAGGGGAUCGAUGUGCCCCUUUAAUAUUUGUAAAUAAUAAGCUCGAAGCCCAGUAGCCCCCGAGCCUUAAUGCGGGCACGGGAGACCGAAUUAAGGAUCGAUAUCCAUAGUAAAAUCACAAAUUAUGUGUAAUGACUCUAUGUAUCCAAGUACUUUACGUCAUUAAUGCUCGGAUCCGCAUUGUACAAAACUUUGUUGACCGACCAUCGGCUUCCACCUCCUCGGUCAAUAGCCGAGGAGUGUUUGUCCUACUUUAUAAAGCCUUUAUGAGGGCAAAGAUUUAAAACAAACAAGGCAAUCUGGCCAUACGGUUUUAUAAACAAAGGUACGCGGAGAGACAUGUUAUAUUACUGUUUAAUAGAAGAAAUGUCUUCCAAAAGAAAAUAGUUCCGCUAUCGGUUCCUUUCUUUGGGUUGUCAUGCUAAGCAUGAUCAUGAAACCUCAGCUCCAAUGUAAGAGCAAAAUAUUGAGGAUUUAGUUUGGAAGGCCAGUUAAUAGCCCUCGGUAGUGUUCGGCGACAGUCGAGGUCAAGCCGUAAACACUUCGGCCAUUGUUAUGAAUGGCCCGUCGUUUAACACCGUCAUCGGAUCGCCGACCAAUUUACGCUUAUUGUGACAGUUAGUUUUCGGCUUUCUCCACUGAGGUGCUUAACCAUGUGAGCUGGAAGCACAAUCGCAGUGGUUCUCCCUUUGCACACCUAGCCGAACAAAGCGGAACAUAGGAGGCAAGCGCAGGAGCUGGGCAACCCAACUAUUGCCCGAAGACACAAUUCGAAACCGAUGCAUAUAUGGCAAGAUCCGAGAAUGUUUUUGCCGAAUCUCUAAAGGUGUCCGACGUUGCACUGCGAGACUUGUGCUGAAAACACACAAAUAGUUUAAAAGUGCCAUGGGCUCGAAAAGCCAAAAAACUUAUUCAAAAGGUUAAUGUCCGAACUAGAUCAAGUGUUCGGUGCCAAUCCGAAAAUUGGACUUUAGAAAAAAAGGUGCUUCUGCCGUGCUUUAACAUGACACAUCCUAUCUCAAAACUUCAAGCGGGCCAGCCUACGGCUUCAACCUUCUAUCCCGAAGGCGGAGUACUCUUUACUAGGCCAGUUUAGCAAACUAAACUCUAGCGGCUUUGAGAGAGAAAUUAGGCUCCCCGGCUAGUGACCGCACACUUGUGUCGAAAAAAGGAGUGAUAAAUAAUAAUUAAAACUUUGCAACGACUAAGAAGAAAAACACUUAUCAUAAAACGGCUCAUAUAAAUUUAAGCGCCCCCAAGUGACUUGGGUAAAAGAAUGAUUGCAUGUACCGAAGUACUUAUAUCAUAUCUAUGUUCAACCGAACUUUAAACGCGUCUUAACCGACCAUCGGCUUCUCCCUCUUCGGUCAAGGACCGAAAAGUGUUAUGUACUCCAUCUGUCGAGAAUAUCGACGGUGUUUCCAAUAACCAGGCAAUCAGGCCAUAGGGCUGUAACAGACAAAGCGCACUCAGAGAACUUAUGCUAUAUUACUGCGAAGAGUAAGAAGCAUCUUCGAAGAAAAUAGUACCCCCAUCGAUACCUUUCUUCGAUGCUCAUUGUUAUUAUGAGACUUGUGCAAUAGAUUUUGUGUACUCAUGAGUUCCGUUGUGUGCCGACCAUGAUUGAAAACAAUAAGAGCGCUAGCUUUCGGCUUCACCCAGUCUGAGGUCCGGCUCAGGUGACCCGAUCGUGACAAUCGCAGAGGUGCUCCCUUUACUCCCUAGCCGAACAAUCGGGAACGUAGGGGUAAGCACAGGAGCCAGGCAACCCAGCUUGCAAAUCGUUUAAGUCAAUAUGGUGCAUAUUGUGGCGUAAUACACGAACAAGGAACGAAGCCGUACAAGUAUAACCGUAUGCAAGAGAAAAAAACUUCAUGAAGGAAGCCCCCAAGUAAACAGGGUAUUUGAAUUUGCGCGUCAGAAAUAAAGUUUGGACAAGGAAAUUUUUACAAGCAACUUUUUUCCAAAAAAGUAUAAUGCUUGGCCGAGCCGAACACAAGUUAAAAAUUUAAAACUUUGAGCAUGAAGACAACUUAGCUGGUUAAUGUGUUCGAUAUUGAUGACGCGGUCCGAGCUUGAUGCGGGAUAAGGUUCCAUCCCUGAGCCGGUCCCGAGGUGGCAGAGCAAAGAGCUCGGCACUCCGAAGUGGUGACAUAGCACGGUCAAUGCAGGACGGCAGGGUGAUGCCGAAGUCCCUGGCAUGGGGUAAUAAAGAGUUGACGAAGCCCCCCGUCCAGCUGAGGUGACGCCAAAGGAUAUAGUCCGGCUGGGUCAUUUUCCUGUGCACAAAAAAUAGUGCAAACCGGAGAUAAUAGUAAUAAUAAUAAAAAAAAUCAUUGCAUAACAAAUAAUUUAUGCAAAGUGAGUAAUAAAAGAAAUAUGGCCUGGCGCCGAAGUCAAUGUCGAUGCAGGGCGGCGGCGUGAUGCGGUAAAGGCAUGGCAAGGCCUGAAUUCACAGGUCGGUUCGAGUUCCGGAUGCGGCGUUCGCCGGACUAUGUACGGAAACUGACCGAACCACCAUGCGACCGUCGCUAAUGCGGCCACCAUUUGAUAGACCUGCGUACGUAUGACGGAUAAACCAGAGUAAUAAUUCAUUGGGAAAAAUGAACCCUAACAAGCAAAAAAAAUACUAGGAUUAAUGGCACAUGGCUUAUUUGUUGUAGCAAUCCGAAGAAAGGUGAUUCCCAAAAGUAGGACUCGAUCCACACGGCUAUCUCCUGAUGGGCGAUAAAGCAACGGCAUGGCGAUGCUGGCAAAGGUUGGCUCGCCGAGGCAAAGCCCUCGGUCCAGCUAACGUGACGGAGCUGGUCGGCCAGCGACGCCGAAGUCUCCGGAGUAGGUUGAUGAAGAGAUGAUGAAGCCCCCGGUCUAGCGAUGCAGGUCGUGACGUGGUCGAUGCCGGCUUGAUGAAGUGACCAUGUGGCGAUGCAGGUGUGCCCGCUCCGUGUAAUCCAUGGGGCGGCGAUGUUGGUGACAAUUUAUCCUUCGCGAUGCCGAACUAUUAUUCGGCUGGCCGAGAUGAUGAUCCGAAGAAAUUGAGCUCGGCUCAACAAAGCGACGACGUGUCUAACGCAGGUCGGCCGCCGUGGAGUGAUGUUGUCGGGCUGGUUUGACACCGGCGCGACGGUGAAGUUCGUAUUCCAAGAAUACUUUCAAUACUACUAGGAUGUGUUUGAGAAUAAAACACAACACCCCAUACGAAAACUUCCUUGAAAAAGGAUGUCCGAGAUCCCGUUCAUAAAGAAAAUGAAUUCGGGUCGGAUUCGUUCUCGCGCAGAAAACAGAUCCAAAAAGUGAUGCACUAAUCGGAAGUUUCCCGGAGUUUGGACGGUCGGAUCAAUCUGAAUUUUUGGCAGGUGGUAGAUAUGGGAAUUCCGCAGCAAAUCAACGGUUGGAUCCUCCAAAGGACAUACGAGCUAGAUGCUGGAUACCACACUCUAAACUCGUCCGGAUUCUCGUCCAGAUUCAACAGGGCUCCAGUAUAUCAAAGAUUGCCGGAGAUUCCUCCAUCGGAACUCGACGAAAUUUUUGUAGGGUUGUUGUAGACUUAAUUCCGCAUAAUUUCACUGAAGUAAUCGUUUAAGCGACACUCGAGGAGGCGGUGGCGGCGGAUACAAGUUUACUAUCCAGAAAAACAGCACGGUCGCCUGAGGGCAAUGUUGACGUUGAGCCCCCGAGCUCCAUGGAUGACCUCUCCAUGAUCUUGAUAGAGAUCGGAAUUGGUGUUGAUGAAGGCCUUCAUCCGAACAUGAUGAUCGGAGGUAGGGCGCAGUCCUCGGUCAAACCAAGGUGACCAGUCAAGCUGGUGACGAAGAAGCCGAUGUCGCAGUUGACCUGCAGUCGAGCCAUUGAUCCUUUCGCCGAUCACACAGCGGAACUCUCAAUGAAAGCACCAAUGUCGGUGUCAAAACCGGCGGAUCUCGGGUAGGGGGUCCCAAGCAGUGCGUCUUAGGAUCAAUGGUAACAGGAGGCAAGGGACACAAUGUUUACCCAGGUUCGGGCCCUCUCGAUGGAGGUAAAACCCUACUCCUGCUUGAUUGAUAUUGAUGAUAUGGGUAGUACAAGAGUUGAUCUACCACGAGAUCAGAGAGGCUAAACCCUAGAAGCUAGCCUAUGGUAUGAUUGUUGUUGUAUAUCUAUUGACUAGCCUGGCCUCAGUUUAUAUAAUGUACCAAAGGCCUAGGAUAACAAGAGUCCUAGCCGAAUACGCCGGUGGAGAAGGAGUCCUUGUCUUGAUCACCAAGUCUUGUGGAAUCUUCCUUGUAUGCGGUAACUGUCCGGACUGGCCCAUGAGUAUACGGCCAUGGGGAUCCUCGGCCCAAUCCAACUGAUCGGGAGACGACGUGGUGAGUAUCCCCUAGUCUAGGACACCGUCAACAAUGUUUGUGGCAGAGUGACAAUAACAGGGUGUUUGACAUUCAUUUCCAUUUCUUGCAUGGGACCUAAGCAUGCAACCAAGGAGACAGACUUGAGUUUUCAACCAAUUUAUAUCCAUUAAAGCAUGUGCAUGUAGUUCAAAUUUGAAUUAUGCACAUAAAUGCAUUCAAAGGUCAAUUAAUGCAUAAAAAUGUCCUAACGAACCCUAAAAAAUUUCAAAAAUUUAACACAACACUCCUGUUGUUCUAUAUGUUGAUACUAGAGCAAAAAUUGAAAUCAAGAAGAGGCAACGGAUAUCGUUUCGUCCAGAAACGUGAAUCGUUACGUACCGUAACCAUAAGGCUUGUUGCAAGAAGCUCUGGCUUGUGAGAAGCUUAUACCCUAACCUGCCCCAAAUGGAACAAUAUUUUUACCACUGCAUGUUGCUGCCGUUCCAUGAUAGCAUGUCAAGUUGCAUGAAUUUCAUAUAAGUUUUCGAUUUACUAGAAUUUUAAAACAAUGUAUCUCAAUAUUAGUGGUCGAGCGACAAUGGCAAAGGUGUUUGACAUUCAUUCCCAAUUCUUGUAUGGGACUUAAGGUUGCAACCAAGGACACACAUUUGAUUUUUCAACCGUUUAUAUGCAUUGGAGCAUGUGCAUGUAGUUCAAAUUUGAAUUAUGCACAUGAUUGCAUAGAAAACUUAGUUAAUGUAUAAAAAUGUCCACGCGAACCCCGAAAUAUCCCAAAAAAUUGCAAACACUCAUGUUAUUCUAUGUUAACACGAGGAAAAAAUUGAAAGUAAGAAGAUGCAACAAAUAUCGUUUCGUCCCCUAAGGUGGCACGUUCCCUACCGAAACCAUCAUGCUUGUUGUGAGAGAAGCUCUAGUUUGCGAGAAGAUUAUACCAUAACCUGGCCCAAAUGGGACAAUAUUUUUUACCCCAGCAUCUUGAUGCCGUUCCAUGAUAGCAUGCCAAGGUUCAUGAAUUUCAGACGAGUUUUAUAUUUACUAAAAUUACAAAAGCAAGCACCUCAACGUUUGCCAGAGAGCCAUGGUGCCGUGGUGUUUGAAAUUCAUCCCCAUUUCUUGAAUGGGACGUAAGCAUCAACCCAUGAACAUAUAUAUUAUUUUACAACCCAUUUUGGUGCACCAGAGCAUGUGCAUGUGGUUUAAUUUUGAAUUGUGCACCUGAAAUGGCUAGAAAACCAAGUUACCGUAUGAAAAUGUCCAAACAAACCGUGAAUAAUUCCAAAUUUUUUGACGACACACCUAUAGUUGCAUGUUCACUACAGAUAGAAGUUCUAGCAAUUCAAACACCAUCCAUUGCAGCUGUGACCCUAUUAUGUAAUUCAAAUUAAGAUGAAAAAUCAAGUAGAUCCCACACCGUUUAUUAUCACCAACCGUGUGAGAUGCAGUAUAAAAUAUCCUGGAGCACCGUCGGUAUAUAGUACGCCUAUGGCUUACGCAAGAAGGUUCGUCGGCCACAGUCCAUAGCCAGCGUGUCAAGCACACUAGCUCGCUCCCCAAAUAUCAUUUCAUCGUUCAAUCAUCUCCAGUGAAAGAUGGGGACGUGGACCCGUGUCCUGAGGGCAAUGUCUGAUGACACUUUGUGCACCAGUUUUUUCGCUGAAGUGAUUUUAAAUUUUCGGCUUUCGCGGAAAUAUCUACCCCCUCCCCUCCCCCUUACCAAAAGCCACAUUUCCUCUGUUUCCGCCUUCCUUUCCAAGUUGAAACAUCCACUCCUUGCUUGCAGCGCCGCCCCCUCGCAGGCGACCCUCCUUCAGGCUGCUCGGUAUCGCCUAUUCAGGCAGGUAAUCCACACCCGAACCCCAUCCUCCUCCUCCUUCCACAUCCCACAUGCCUCGAUCGCCGGCACGAGCGCGACACCUUCCACCCAAAUCACAGACCCCUCCACCAAAUAAGCACCUUCCUAAGCCAUGGUGCACGCAGUAUAGGCAGGAUCUCAAGGAGCAUUUGGCAGCGGAGAAGCAAAUCGCGUCCGCACACGCGGAUGAGGUCGCGAUGGCUACCAUUCGUGCCGACCCCCAGAUCUUGGAGGAGCACCUUGCCAUUUGCUAGCUAUGCCGGUUAAGCAUGCUCGGUUUACCCGUUGCGUGUGCCGCUCCUGCCUUUCGUUAACAAAUUGCUCUAGUGUAUAUGUUCUAUAUGUCGUGCAAUGUGGUGCUCACUUAUUAACUGUUUGGUUAAUUAGUUGUUGUGUUCAGUUAACUGUUUGGUUCAGUUCUGCAAAUGUGAUGCUCAAAUCUUCAGGUUGCAAUUUUGUAUUGUCUUCCAUGUGAGAAAUAAAUCGAUUUUUUCUUUACAAAAUAUAUGAGAAACAAAUCCAAUUGCUAUAUUUCCAAGUUGUCAAGCAUGCUUAGUUUUGGUUAACUGUUUGAUCUUCUAGUAUGUUAUACAUUAUGCAAUAUGGUGCUUAGUUAACAUUUGGUUCAUUUGUUGUGGUGUUUAGUUAACUGCUUGGUUUCAUUCUGCAAUGCGAUGUUCAAUUGUUGUGGGUGCAUUCUGUUAUUGUAUACCAUAUGAAAAAUAAAUUGAAUUUGGCUAUACUAAAUACAUGAGAAACAAAUACAAUUGCUAUAUUUCCAAGUUGUUAAGCAUGCUUGGUUUGGUUAACUGUCUGAUCUUCUAUUAGGAGUAUGUUAUGUUGUGCAACGUGGUGCUCAGUUAAUGUUUGAUUCAUUUGUUGUGGUGUCUAGUUAACUGUUUGGUUCAAUUUUGCAAUGCAAUGUCCAAUUGUCGUGGGUAUAAUUUUGUAUUGUUGUGCAUGUGAGGAAUGAUCGAAUUUGGUUGCACUUAAUACAUGGGAAACAUAUACAAUUGCUAUAUUUCCUAGUUCUUAAUGAUGCUUGGUUUGGAUAAAUGGGUUUUCCAUGUGACUUGAAUUAAUCUGAUGAAUCUACAAUGUGCUUAUUUUUCAUCAACUUAUUUUAUCGGUAGCAUGCGAACCCUUACUUAACUUGAUGACUAACUACCUUAUAUGUGUUGUAGGGAAACAAUAUAAUGGGAAGCACUGAGGUUUACAAUCGAGGUUAGCACGUGCAUGGUCCGUUGUCUAAUAGCACAUUAUUGUGCAAUUGCAGGAACCAUUCUAAUACUUAGGUUUUUAACAAUUUGAUCUUGCACAUGUAGGUCCUGCUGUCAGAGGUUUUCACCCACUGUUCGACCCUUUUUGCAUAUGGGGAAAUGAGUUGUCCAUGAAUAUCAAUAAAGUCAAGAAACUCAGAAAGAUUGUUAGGAUAAAGAAAUUGGCGACAAAAAAAAACAAGAUCUUUGUCUGCACAAUGAAGAAGACAUCAGUUCACUACAGGAUGGUACUAACUAUCAUACCUUGUCUUUUUUAUUCCUUUGCCCCAUUUUCAAUAUAGAGAAGAUAUUUAUGCACAUCCUUGUUUUUAGACCUUUCAAAACAGUUCACUGAUGAUUACCUCUCAAACCACCUGUGUGGACAGGAGGCGAGGAAGGUAUUCAUACAACACCCAUGGUUCAAUAUUAAAGUGUUCCUGAAGAGGACGAAGGAUGGACGGUCAAUAAUCUACAGGCACUGUCCUAAAGUUGCAAAGACCUUCAACAUCAAUGAAGGCUCAAUAUUCACCUUCCGCUUCAGCAGUUUUCCCGAUGAGAUGCAUCUGCCUAUGUACCGUCUAUGAUGCUAAUUUUGAAAGGUCAUGUGAAAUUGGGUGCUGGUGCAGUUGUGUAAUGGGGUAGCUGAGUGCUGAAGCUAUCAUGUUAUAAUCUGAUGUAUUUCAAUUAUGAAAUCUUGCUUCCUUAAUAUGGGAAUGAAAUAUAUUAUGUGUUUAAUAUGAAUGUCAAUUAGAUUAAUAAAUGAAUUAUUAAUAAUAUGGCAAUUAGCCUACUAAUGGCAAAUUAGCCUGCUAAUUGGUUUUUGCUAUUACAAACGGUUAUUGAGAAAAUACUGUGGGCGAUGACGGAUGACCUAAGGCAACGCACACAGUUUCUAGGAAUAAACUGUGUUGGAUCUAUGAACAAUCACACACGACAUUCUUUUCAAAACUGUUUGCGUUAGGCCGCCUUGCGCAAACGUUACCGCAUCAAAACUAUGUGUGAUGGAUAGCCUUUGCCAUACAGUUUCUUCUAUGCACCGUGUGUGAUGCAUUCAAUAACGCAAACGAUUUUUUUAAUAUUGUGUGCGAUGGGAACGCCAUCACAAAUGAUUUAACGAAAAAAAUUAUGUGUGAUGUACCUACGAACAGAAAUGUUUUCCUUGCAGCGACUGUGUGAGAUGUAUAUACGAACGGAAAUGUUUCGCGUGGACUGACUGUGUGGGAUGUACUUACGACCGAAAAUGAUUUCGCCUGUAUAAUUGUAUUUUUUUAGCACUAUUGUACGUAUAACCGUAUUUGGUCGCUCGCCGUCCCUCAUUUUACCGAGCGUGUGUGCCAGGAGGGCAUAUCCCCGACGGUUUCUGGAUCAUGUGGGAAGGACCCCCUAAUCGCCCACACUCACUAGACGACGGUUCCAAAUGACGUCUCGGAAAGGGGUUUUAAACCGUUCGUAUAGCACCGACGCGUACCAGUGCCUCCAGUCCACUUAGAUCCCGCACAGGAAGACCAAGAGCGUCCAGAUUGAGAUGGAAUUUGCGCGGAGUUGUCGUGCCCAAUAGCCUGUUGUAGUAGUCAUCCACAAUGGAUGCAAUGUUCUAUUGGCCAGUAAUGUGCUCGUUGUUGUGCGCCAAAGACAGCAACACAUUCUUUCUCUGUCGAUGUCGCGCAUGUUGGUGAAAGAAUCUGGUAUUGGCAUCUCCAUCUUUGAUGUGAAGAAGACGUGAUUUCUGUCUCGCAAUCGUUCGUUCCAGCAACGAAAGCCCAAGGAGCUUUCUCUUCAACCUACGUCUAAGCUCGAUCUUUGACGCGCUGAGAGGCCUAGAGUCCAUGGCCACAUCUAGCCUGAGCAUAAUUUCGAGGGCAAUUUCGAUUUGAAGGCGAACGUUACCAAUCCACUUGAAGCUCCAUGCUUGAAGGUGGCGGGCCGUGGAUGGCCCUGAGUUUGUCAUUGAGAGUCAAAUAUGGAUUAUCAGUCAAAGGUGUAUAGCUCCACGCCUCUUGCACAGUCUCGAAGAACCCUAAUGCUUUAGGUCAAAAGGAUUCAAAUUUAAACCUUUUCCCAAAGUGAAAAUCAGCAUGCAGAUCCAAAAGAAGCGUACAAUGAUCCGAGAUAACAGAUCCAAGGGCGGUGAGUUGGUAGGAGGUGUAUUCAUCUUCCCAUGAGUUCGUAGCAAAAACGUGAUCUAUCUUUUUCAGGGUUGCCAGCUCCCUCUCAUUGGACCAAGUAUAUCUCCUUCUGUUUAGGUAUAUUUCCUUCCGUGCACCCGUAAAAGAAAUAAAAACUGAUAAAAAGAAAAAAAACGGAUAAGUGAGGUGGAAACUCUGGCACACGAUUUGCUCCAUCGUGAUCCUGAAGCAUCAGACGGCUAAAAGCCGUCAACUCGCUUUGUCCGAUUCUGAUCGAAUUCUGACAUGAUGAUACGCAGCGCGUACGCGCUAUAUGGCAUCAUCUGGCGGCCGCCCUAUUUUGGGUAGCUGUGCUGACAUGUCCUGCCAAAAGAAAUCCAGUGACGCUCCUCACAUCGCGCGAGCGCAGCCCCCCACCAAAAAAACAACUCCCCUGCACAAACCUCAUGCAAACUCUUUCUUUUCUCCAUCCGCUGCUACACGCCAUGGCCUAGACGGGGAGGGAGCUCCUGUUAAGCAAUAACACAAAGAAAACCCGGCAAUAAAAUCUAGAAGAAAAGGCGAUAUCACAAUUUGUGAGAAUUGUCUGCUGUAGAUCAGGCAAAAACUCUGGUGGAAAUAGUCAAUUUGUCAGCAAUCAGGCAAAAAAUUCCACCAAAUCACCAGGUAAAGGUCCAUCUCUCUUUUGCAAAAAGAAAAGAAGAAGCAUGAUUCCUUUGUAGUGUGCAAAAACUCUGCUAUACACCCAUGCUUUUGCAGCUUGAUUUUGGAUCUUUUACAAUGGUGAGCCUAUUAUUGCCGCCCCCCUGCUUGUUGAACCUGGA
rnacentral:lncRNA from 1 species